GGGAAGGCCUCCCUGAGAAUCGAUAAUUGAAGUAAGAAAUGAAUGGAAUUAAGAAAUAGCUAUGUGGUGCCUAGCAAAAUACUCUGGGCAGAGGAAAGAGCAAGCUUGACAUGCUCCUGGAAUGGAAAGAAGAUUAAUUAUUAACUCAAAAGGAAAAGAUACAUUUUAAUGAAGAAAUCUGGCAGAUACUACCUUUUCCAAGGGAUCAAACUCCAUAUCAUUGAUAAAGGAAGAAACACCGUCCAGAAGUCCAAGGUCUGAAAUGGGUUUCACUGGGCCAAAACCAAGGUGUCGACAGGGCUAUGUUCUUUCUGGAAUCAUGUUUCAGAUUCUAGAAACUGUGCUCAUUGCUUGGCUCAAGGCCCGUUCCUCCACCCUCAAAGCUGGUGAUG